GGACCCCACUGCUAUCGGGGUAGGACUAAGCCAUGCGAGUCGAGCGUCUCCGAGCCGACGGCGGAGACGCGGCGGACGGCUCCGUAACACGUAGCCAACCUACCUUCGGGACGGGGAUAACCCCGGGAAACUGGGGCUAAUCCCCGAUAGGCAAGGAGGCCUGGAAUGGUCCCUUGCCCAAAGGGCGUUGGAACCGCGCUUCCAACGCCGCCCGAAGAUGGGGCUGCGGCCGAUCAGGUAGUUGGUGGGGUAACGGCCCACCAAGCCUAUAACCGGUACGGGCCGUGAGAGCGGGAGCCCGGAGAUGGGCACUGAGACAAGGGCCCAGGCCCUACGGGGCGCAGCAGGCGCGAAACCUCCGCAAUGCGCGAAAGCGCGACGGGGUUACCCCGAGUGCCGUCCGCUGAGGACGGCUUUUCCCCGGUGUAAUGAGCCGGGGGAAUAAGGGGAGGGCAAGCCUGGUGUCAGCCGCCGCGGUAAUACCAGCUCCCCGAGUGGUGGGGACGAUUAUUGGGCCUAAAGCGUCCGUAGCCGGCCCGGCAAGUCUCCCGUUAAAUCCAACGAUCUAAUCGUUGGGCUGCGGGAGAUACUGUCGGGCUAGGGGGCGGGAGAGGCCGGCGGUAUUCCCGGGGUAGGGGUGAAAUCCUAUAAUCCCGGGAGGACCACCAGUGGCGAAGGCGGCCGGCUGGAACGCGCCCGACGGUGAGGGACGAAAGCUGGGGGAGCGAUCCGGAUUAGAUACCCGGGUAGU
rnacentral:rRNA from 1 species